CCUGGGGGAGGCAGCAGUGGGGAAUAUUGAACAAUGGGAGAAAGCCUGAUCCAGCAACGCCGCAAAAAGAUGAUCGCGGAGGGUAAAAUGUUUUUUAGCAGGGAUGAUAAUGACGUACCUGGGNNANCCCCGUU
rnacentral:rRNA from 1 species